CUAACAGCAAGUAUAACAUUGAUUGGGAUCCUAUCACAAUGAUCGUGGCAUGAACCCUAAAUCCUCAACAUGUUUGAGUGCUGUUUUCUUUUUUUUUGUCUGAUACACGCCCUUGGAUGAGUUCAGUGAAUGGCCAUUGGCCAGUCUCUUCUGAACCAACCAGAGUGUACUCUUACUCUUACCCAACACCCAACGAAGCACUUGCAGUUUCAGUUUCAGUGUUGAGGAAGAAGAAAAGAUGGAGUGGUGGAUGUCAAUGCCAAAGAGAACUCGCUAGAGCUUUGUGGGACAAGGGUCUAAUAGAUUUUUCCCAAGUGGAGCAUGUUAUCCUUAAAAAUGAUCACAUGACUGUUACAAGAAUUGCGAAUGAAGUUGUUGAAGAUUUCGCAUCAGAAAAGUUUGUCUAUCUCGAAUUGAGAACCACCCCAAAGAAAAAUGAUUCCCAAGGAAUGAGCAAACGUUCUUAUGUUGAAGCUGUAUUGGAAGGGAUAAGAUCUGUCAGCUCGGUUGAUGUGGCUUUAAUUCCUUAUACUGAGGAUCCUAGAAAUCUUUUAGAUCCUCUGCACGCAGCUACAAAUGAUAAAUGUAAUGGAAAUAGUAGGAAGAAAAUCUUUGUUAGGCUUCUCUUGAGUGUUGAUCGUAGGGAGACAACAGAAGCAACUAUGGAAACUGUCAAACUGGCACUGGAAAUGAGGCAUUUGGGGGUGGUUGGAAUUGACCUAUCUGGGAAUCCAAAGGUUGGCGAAUGGUAUGUCAAUCUAUCAAGGACUCUAGCGUAGUAAUUCGUAAUGAUGCUUUAGAUCAAAGUCUCCCGUUAUCUUUUUUUGGAAAAGAUACUUGCCAGCAUUGAAAUUCGCCAGAGAACAAGGUCUUUUUGUAACCCUUCAUUGUGGAGAGGUUCCUAAUUCAAAGGAGAUACAAGAUAUGCUCGAUUUUGUUCCCCAUAAUCGGACAUGCUUGUUUCUUUGAGGAGGAACACUGGAGAAAGUUGAAGUCUACUAACAUUUCCGGUUGAAAUUUAUUUGCUUGCUCACAUCCAUUGCUGCAACACAGGCAAGCAGCUUUGAAUAGCGUGAAAGGCUCACUUGGAGAUUAACUAGCAUUUAGAUCCGUCGUGAUUCCCCCUCCAUUCUAUGUAAUUUAGUGAAUUAAUAACAAAAGACUGAAAAAAUUGGCAAAACAUAGGCCAAAUAUUUAAUAUCAACUGUACCAUAGGCAUUGAUUCAUUGUUGUAGAAGAAGUUAUUUGUAAUGUAUUAACUUGAGGAAGCUGAUCCUUUUAUAGCAAAUACGUGUAAUCAAAGUAUGAUCUUUGUCAAA